rnacentral:lncRNA from 1 species
GGGCCCCGCACAGGCCGCGGCGGCUGGCUCGGCCCUACGGUCCCGGCGGCGGCUGCAGGAGGAAGCCCGGUGGCUGCGGAGGAGGGGAGGCGGAGAGGCCGAGGCCGCUCGCGAAGACGCUCCCCGGCUCCGCAGGGAAAGGCUCCUAGAAAGUGAGUACGGACGGUAUGCAAAGUUGUGAAUCCAGUGGCGACAGUGCGGAUGACCCUCUCAGUCGUGGCCUACGGAGAAGGGGACAGCCUCGUGUGGUGGUGAUCGGCGCCGGCUUGGCUGGCCUGGCUGCAGCUCGAGCACUUCUGGAGCAGGGCUUCACGGAUGUCACUGUGCUUGAGGCUUCCAGCCACAUUGGGGGCCGUGUGCAGAGCGUGAAACUUGGU